GGAUGCAAAACACUGAGCAGAGACAGCAAAACAAAGCUCACAUUGUACGCACAAGGACAUAGAAAUAUAAAUAUAGAAAAUCAAAUGCUGUCACUGUUGAAAGAAGAUAUUAACUCAUGGGUGCUGACACUCCGUAGCGGCUGAACACGAAGACGGCACUCCACUGGGGUGACCUUUGACUCUUGGCAGAGAGCGGUUUCACUGAGGGAAUUCACUCCGGUGGAUGAGUCUCUAGUGUUUGUCAAGAUCUCUGUGGAAACAAACACUCAGAGGGUCUUUGUGGAACAGUCCAGAAAUAAUUGAACAUCUACUGACGGACUAUUGUAUUCCCAAGUGAACAACAAAAAUCCUACUAAGCCCAUAAUGGACUGUGCAGGAGCUGUGAGGAGUUACAAAGAAGGCAUGGCUCCUCACUCUGAGGGUCUCCCUGGCUAGUAGAAAACAGAAAUGAAAAUGCCUGAAAACCAUUUAGGUC
rnacentral:lncRNA from 1 species